rnacentral:rRNA from 1 species
AGGGAGUUUUCGGCAAUGGGGGAAACCCUGACCGAGCAACGCCGCGUGAGGGAUGACGGCCUUCGGGUUGUAAACCUCUUUCAGCAGGGAAGAAGCGAAAGUGACGGUACCUGCAGAAGAAGCGCCGGCUAACUACGUGCCAGCAGCCGCGGUAAUACGUAGGGCGCAAGCGUUGUCCGGAAUUAUUGGGCGUAAAGAGCUCGUAGGCGGUUAGUCGCGUCUGCUGUGAAAACUCGAGGCUCAACCUCGGGCUUGCAGUGGGUACGGGCUGACUAGAGUGCGGUAGGGGUGACUGGAAUUCCUGGUGUAGCGGUGGAAUGCGCAGAUAUCAGGAGGAACACCGAUGGCGAAGGCAGGUCACUGGGCCGCAACUGACGCUGAGGAGCGAAAGCAUGGGGAGCGAACA